rnacentral:rRNA from 1 species
UACAGAGGUCCCAAGCGUUGUUCGGAUUCAUUGGGCGUAAAGGGCUCGUAGGCGGUCCAUCGCGUCGGGAGUGAAAAGCUGGGGCUUAACCCCAGUCCUGCUUCCGAUACGGGUGGACUAGAGGUAGGUAGGGGAGAACGGAAUUCCUGGUGUAGCGGUGAAAUGCGCAGAUAUCAGGAGGAACACCGGUGGCGAAGGCGGUUCUCUGGGCCUUACCUGACGCUGAGGAGCGAAAGCAUGGGGAGCAAACAGG